rnacentral:ncRNA from 1 species
UCACGAACAAGGCAAACCAUUUGAAAGAAUGGGACGCAAAGCUUCCGGCCUAAAAGUAAUUACUAAAUAAGUUUUUACUCAUGGUAGCGGGGUUGCCGAU